CUCCUACGGGAGGCAGCAGUGGGGAAUAUUGGACAAUGGGCGCAAGCCUGAUCCAGCAAUGCCGCGUGAGUGAAGAAGGUCUUCGGAUUGUAAAGCUCUUUCGACGGGGACGAUGAUGACGGUACCCGUAGAAGAAGCCCCGGCUAACUUCGUGCCAGCAGCCGCGGUAAUACGAAGGGGGCUAGCGUUGCUCGGAAUGACUGGGCGUAAAGGGCGCGUAGGCGGUUUGUACCGUCAGAUGUGAAAUUCCUGGGCUUAACCUGGGGGCUGCAUUUGAUACGUACAGACUAGAGUGAGGAAGAGGGUUGUGGAAUUCCCAGUGUAGAGGUGAAAUUCGUAGAUAUUGGGAAGAACACCGGUGGCGAAGGCGGCAACCUGGUCCUUGACUGACGCUGAGGCGCGAAAGCGUGGGGAGCAAACAGGAUUAGAUACCCUGGUAGUCCACGCCGUAAACGAUGUGUGCUGGAUGUUGGGCGGCCUAGCCGUUCAGUGUCGUAGCUAACGCGAUAAGC
rnacentral:rRNA from 1 species